AUUGAACGCUGGCGGCAGGCCUAACACAUGCAAGUCGAACGCGUGGCGGACGGGUGAGUACUGUCUGGGAAACUGCCCGAUGGAGUGGGAUAACUACUUGAAACGGUAGCUAAUACCCCAUACCAUCUCAUGUGCCCAUAUGGGAUUAGCUUGUAGGUGAGGUAACGGCUCACCUAGGCGACGAUCCCUAGCUUGUCUGAGAGGAUGACCAGCCACACUGGGACUGAGACACGGUCCAGACUCCUACGUGAGGCAGCAGUGGGGAAUAUUGCACAAUGGGCGCAAGCCUGAUGCAGCCAUGCCGCGUGUAUGAAGAAGGCCUUCGGGUUGUAAAGUACUUUCAGCGGGGAGGCGUUACCCGAAGAAGAAGCACCGGCUAACUCCGUGCCAGCAGCCGCGGUAAUAC
rnacentral:rRNA from 1 species